GUUCAGUGCCUUCCAUGUUGCCCAGUCUUCUGUGUGCCCAGGAGGGAGCUUCUCAUCUGGUAUCAGCCACUGAUUGAGGUUCCGGGUUUUAGCAUGCCACCUUUGGACUCACAUUUGCUAAGUUGUUCCUGUGAGUAUUUCUGUUUAUCUUAGGAAGCUAUUUCUUGAUGUAAGGUAUUGGCAUGCUGGCUGAUAUCUGAACAGAGGAUGGGCCAGAGAUGUCAAUGCCUUGGUCCUCUCAUUACUGGCUGCUGCUUCCCAACAGAUGUCAGGUAGUGUGAUACCAGCUAAACAGUAUAAUUUCUCCAGUGGUUAGGGUGUAGACAUUCUGUGAUAAUACAGCAUAUCUCAUAAAGAGCCAGGUCCACUGUUUUAACAUUGUGAGAUGUAUUCCACACUGGGCAUGUGUAUUCAGCAGCAGAGUAGCAAAGCACAAUAGCAGGUGCCUUUACUGUAUCUGGUUGUGAUCCCCAGGUUGUGCCAGUCAGCUUUUGUACGAUAUUAUUUAUAGCACCCACUUUUUGCUUGAUAGUCAAGCAGUGCUUCUUGUAAGUCAGAGCAUGGUCCAGGGUAACUCCCAAGUAUUUUGUUGUGUUGCAAUGUUUCGCUGGUAAACAUUUACUUCUCAGGACCUUGGUUAUUGUGGAGUAAAAAGACAUAUCUUUGACAUAAAUGGGAUCAGUUAACAUUUUCUCUGAAUAUCUGCUAUUUCAAUUAUUUUUUAAAAAAGAGAAUAAAUGCAUUAAUUUUAAGUCUUUAAUCAUAUCCAUUCUUCAACUCAAUUACAACAAUCGUUUCAUUAAAUUAAUAUUGUAAUUGUCCUCCUUUACAGAUAAAAGAAACAAAAUUAGUAGGAAUGCUCAAUAGCUGAGGCGAGGGAUUGUAUGUUCCAGAAGUGGGCCCAGUGCCGCAAUUCAAAAAGGAUAUUGACAAGUUGGAAUGUGUUCAGAGAAGACUGAACAAAAUGGUCAAAGGUCUGAAAGCCAAGCCCUACGAGGAACAACUUAGGGUGUUGGGUAUGUUUUAAGACAGUGGUCUCAACCUUUCUAAUGCCGUAACCCCUUAAUACAGUUCCUCAGGUUUAGGUGACUCCCAACCAUAAAAUUAUUUUAUCUGAGAAAUGAUUAUAUAACACUAAUAACUGGGAACUAUUGCACGGUAUGCAACAAGCACUUAUAAAUGUAUGCCUAUUUGAAUAAGUAAAUAAAUAAAAGGGGAAAAUAAUAAAAUUAUUUUCAUUGCUACUUCCUAACUGUAAUUUUGCUACUGUUAUGAAUCGUAAUGUAAAUAUCUGAAUUGCAGGAUGUAUUUUCACUCAAAUAUGGCACAGAUACCUGAUACACCCAAAUUUGAAUAGUGGUGGGGUUGGAGGGGGGGAGGUUAAUUUUGUCAUUUGGGAGUUGUAGUUGCUGGGAUUUAUAGUUAACCUACAAUCAAAGGACAUUCUGAACCCAGCCCACAAUGGAUCUGCACUAAAUUUGGCAUACUACAUGGUCAACAUUGAAUACUGGUGGGAUUGGGGGAGGCUGUUUUUGAAUUCUGGAAGUUAUAGUUUACCAAUAUUCAAAGAGCACCCUGUACCAAACUGGUGAUAGAACUAGUAAACUUGCCACACAUACUCAUCAUCCCAAAGGACAGGCGGGGAGAUCUUCAGACUUCUCUGCCAAAGGGGUUCCUAAGACCAUCAGAAACAUGUGUUUUCUGGUGGUCUUUCGCGACCCCUCUGACACCUCCCUCGCAACCCCUAGGGGUCCUAACUCCCAGGUUGAGAAAUGCUGUUUUAAGAGAAGGUUAAGAGGCAUGAGACAAACUGGAACCACAGGAAAACAAGACUACAUUACAGGAUCAAACUCCAAGGUAAUCCAAGGUAAUAGAAAUCCAAAUAGCAAAGUUACUUGAACAAUCAACUGGAUUAAAAGGCAACACAAGGCUGGAACUUGAAGCAAAAUCCAUGGCUGCAGGAAUAUACAGGAACACAGAGCAAAGAUCUUUCUCUCUUGAAUUGCAAUGUUGCCACCUCUGCUACGGCAGAGAAGGACCAGGCAUUUAAGGAAAAUCCAAGGUCUUUCUUCCAUGAGAAAACUCUUUCUCUCAUGAGAAAACUAUUCAUUAGAGUGCUUCAAAAGCAGUCGUUUACUUCUCUGCAAACAUUCUCAUUCCCUCCUUUGAUGAGUUAUCACUCCCCUCCUGUCAAACCCAUUAUCCUCUAAACUAGAAUGCCCAUCUGGCACCUGGAAAUCUGGCCUUGACUGCUGAGAGGAAUGCGGUUCACAAUGUGUGCUUGCAACCAUUCAGUCUCUGGUCCAAGAAUCCACUGGGACAAACUCUGGCUGCAUGGCAGGCCCAAACCCAGAGUCCUCUGGCAAAGAAGGUGCAGGGAAAAUCACUGGCUAAAUGGGCCCAAUCCCAAGCUCAGGCUGAGCUACAACAGUAUCUUUAUUUAUAAAAUAUGUACACUACAUUCUCUGGUCAUGUCUGUUCACAUCUUAGCACACUGCACAGAGCACACCGCAUUCAUCUUUUCUGGUUUGCACAGGAAACUCCAAAAGUGGCACUCUACCAAUUUUAUCUACCUCCAUUAUUUUAUAUGACUACCCCAGAGGAGACAGGCAUUGAAGGCCUAUCCCCUCUGCCUUAGUUAUCGCAUUCCAUCCUAAACAUUAGAUAUCCCUUUGUUAUUGUCCUAACAAGAUUCCACCAUGGAAAAAGUAAGAAGGUCUGCUUGAUUUAUGUGAGUUAUGUUUCACAACGCUUCUAAAGUAGUCCUUGUAAAUAAAUGACUACAGUGUGAAGUCACAAAAAUCAUUGGGUGGUUGAGACCCUUCAUACAUUAUGCAUCAUCUCUAAUAUGCACAAAUAACUGCUUUAAAGGUCUUCUACAUGCAAGAGAAAUACAGUUUUAAAGGAUCACACUGACAGAAGAUAACAAUAGGCAGUUUCCACAGAGGCUGCAAAAGCCAUUAAGAAAUUUCUGGCAAUGAAAAUUCUGUGUCUGUGUUGUUGUUACUGUGUUUUCCCCAUCUAUGCUUCUGCAAUGCUGCUCUUUGAGUGUACAUAUCAGCUGGAUAUAUCAAUAUCAAUGCUUUUGUUACUGGAGUGUUUUGCUUUCUUCUCAGUGCUCAAACCAGUUCCCCUUUUGGUAACCCUUCCAAUAGCCAUUACUACUGACAAUUGACUGUGGAGAAAACUUUAGAAGUGGAGUAAAAUCAAUCUACUCUGCAAAAAUACAAAUAAAUGACUUCACUCAAAAAAUAGAAAGGCAGAAAGGGAUCAGAAAAGAAUGUCCACUCUCACUUCUACUUUUUAUACUAGCAGUGGAAGAGUUGGCAAGGCAAAUUCGAUCAAAUACCAAUAUGGCAUGUGUAACGAUUUGGCAAAAAAAAAAAAAUACAAGAUAAGAUUCUUUGUAGAUGGCAUUGCAAUUUUGACACAAAAUCAUCUGCAGAACAUUCCAAAAGCAUUAAAAAUAAUGGAAUUUGGAAAUGUGGCAGGACUGUCAAUCAAUCAAGACAAAACAAAAAUUAUAACUCAUAAUAUGAAUAAAGAGAAUCAAGAGAUGCUGAAACAAAAGUCAAAAAUUGAUAUUAUAGCUAAAGUAAAAUAUCUGGGAAUUCAAUUAACAAAUAAUCAUUGUGAACGGUUCAAAAAUAAUUAUGAAAAAGUAUGGAAAGAUAAACAAAAAAUUUACAAAGAUGGAACAAUUUGGAUUUGUCCUUAUUUGGAAGAACAUUGACAAUUAAAAUGAAUGUACUUCACAAAAUGAUAUAACUGUUUCAACCAAUUCCAAUUUUGGAAUAAAGAUUUGACAAAAUGUAUAUGGAAAAAUUAAUAGCUAGAAUAAACAUGAAACGCCUACAAGAUGUGAAAGACAAAGGAAUAAUUGCAUUACCAAGUAUGGGACAAUAUUAUGAUGCAGUUGUAUGGGCAUAGAUUAAAGAAUUGAUUGUUUUAAAUUAAAGAUUAUUAACAAUUGAAGGGACAAAUUUAAGAUGUGGUUGGCAUGCAUUUUUAUAUAUGACAAAAUGAAAUUGCACUUUAAGAAACAUCAGAUAAGGAGCUCAUUGAUAAGUAAAUGGACCUUUUUACAAUAAACUAUCAGAAUGGACAAAAUGGCAAGAGGCUAAGAACACCAAGGAGAGAAUACUUAACAUAAACAAUUAUUAGAUAAGGGGACACCACAGAAAUUAAAAACACUACAGGAUCUGGGAUUUCCUGCCUUGAUAUUCUGGGUUAUAUGGCUGUGUGGAAAGGCCCUGGGAGAAGAGACUAGAAGAUCGUGAGAUAAUCCUGGAAGAAGAUACAGCAUUGAACUUAUUGUUUGGUGGCAACAUCACUCCUCCCUUAACUGUAGUAGAUACAUGGACAUUUAAAUUUUAUAUACUCCUUGAUAUGAAGAAAUAGAUGUAUUUUUAAAAAGGAAAAAUGCUUUUAAAAUAAUGUGGGGUGCUUCAAUGUAAUAAGGACACAGGGCCCUUCCACACAGUCAUAUAACCCAGAAUAUCAAGGCAGAAAAUCCCACAAUAUCUGCUUUGAACUGGUUUAUAUGAGUCCACACUACCAGUAGAUAAUGUGGGAUUCUAUUGUUGAUGGGGUUCAAAGGGCUCUUUGAUUGUAAGUGAACUAUAAAUCCCAGCAACUAUUCAUUAUAUAAUCUGCACACUUAUUGGCAGUAAACUCCCAACUAUGGGCCUUUCCACCCAGCCAUGAAACCCAUAAUAUCAAGGCAGAAAAUCCCACAAUAUCUGCUUUGAACUGGGUUAUAUGAGUCCACAUUGUCAUAUAUUCCAGUUCAAAGCAGAUAAUGUGGCCUUUAUAUUCAGGCUGUAUUUUCAUGUAUCAUGGACCAAAAUUCUUUUGCCUUUUUACACUUCCACCAAAUGUGGUGGUAGGAGCCCUCCUCUUCACCACAUUUCCAACAUUUUAAAUUCCUGCUUUUUUAAAUAAUGCCCAGUUUUUUAGGUGUUAUGUACCAUCUAUAGAAUACUUUCAUCCAAUUUUCUUUUAAUUGGUAUGCAUAUGUAAAUUUAAGCCUUCUACCCCAACAAGCUUCCCAUUCAUCCAUUUGAAUUGAUAUUCCUAUAUCUGUGAUGUCUCAGGGACCUUUUGCCCAUGACCAUCAUAGCCAUCAUAGAUCAAACUGAAGAGGAUUUGGGCUUUUUUCCAUCUCAGCAAGAUUCUGUUCCAUUCCAGAUGUCUCCUGUUGGCAUUUUCGUGCUAGAGCCAAUUAGGGAUGCCCUUGAAACAGAGCCUGUUUCUCCAGAAAGCUUGGUGUUUGAUAGGAAGGCUUUUCUCAAAACACAUCGCUCCCAAAAGCAGUUUUUAAGGCAAAGUGCAAGAUUAGCGGAGACGAUUGUGACUAAACCGUUUCCCUUGGGAAGUUUCGGGGAGGCAGGCAUCUGGUACGAUGUUGAAACAGCUCUGUUCUCUGGGAAAAUUUGGGGAGUCAAACACCUGCUUGGGGGGAGUUCUUGAACUUCCAUAAAAGUUCUGCACUGAGCUUUCCCUAUUGCAGUGUCAACAUGACUAUUCAUAGAAGAACAUUGUCUCUUGUUCCUGAGCUUCCAAGCGGCCCUCCGGUGUGCUUACUCACGAGUAGACCAGGAGUUGCGUCCCACUCCUUGUCAAGUUUGGACUGCGUUUCAGAUUCACCACGAAAUACCUUGCCUAGCCUUGAAUUCUUGUUCUGGACUUUACUUCAAGAAUCUCCCUGUGAAACCUUGCUCUUUCCCCACUCAAACUUCCAAAGAGUUUGAGUGUGUUUCGGUUAUUUGGAUUAUAGAAUUUGGACUCUAAUACUGGACAUAUAACUUCAUUUUAUUGAACUAAUUUUGAUCUUCUCUAAAAGGUCAACUGCUGGACUAUAUACUCUGCUUAUUUUUGUUUAGAACUUUUAUUGCUUUAAUAAAGAUAUUAGAUUGUU